GAUGAACGCUGGCGGCGUGCCUAAUACAUGCAAGUCGAGCGAACGGACGAGAAGCUUGCUUCUCUGAUGUUAGCGGCGGACGGGUGUGUAACACGUGGUUAACCUACCUAUAAGACUUGGAUAACUUCGGGAAACCGGAGCUAAUACCGGAUGAUAUUUUGAACCGCAUGGUUCAAAAGUGAAAGACGGUCUUUCUGUCACUUAUAGAUGGAUCCGCGCUGCAUUAGCUAGUUGGUAAGGUAACGGCUUACCAAGGCAACGAUGCAUAGCCGACCUGAUAGGGUGAUCGGCCACACUGGAAGAGAGACACGGUCCAGACUCCUAGGGGAGGAAGCAGUAGGGAAUAUUCCGGAAUGGGCGAAAGCCUAACGGAGAAACGCCGAGUGAGUGAUGAAGGUGUUGGGAUCGUAAAACUCUGUUAUUAGGGAAGAACAGAAGCGUAAGUAACUGUGGACAUAUUGACGGUACCUAAUAAGAAAGCCACGGCUAACUACGUG
rnacentral:rRNA from 1 species